AUGGAGCUAAACCUGUUCUUACGCAGAGCAUUCAGGUGGAACUUUACGGUAACCUAUGUGCAAACCCCCAUCAUCGGCAUGGACUUCCUAAGCCAUUACGGGUUGCUCGUGGACGCGCGAAACAAAAGCCUCACCGACACGGCAACUCGAAUGUCAUCGAGGGGAUACACCGACACGACAGACCAAGUGUCCGUUAAGACCAUUAUCGGCGAAUCACCAUAUCACCAACUCCUGGCAGAAUUCCCGGACCUCACCCGCCCGCCGAUUUUUGGAAAAGAGAAGACUCGACACGGUGUGGUACACCACAUCGAAACCACGCCUGGCCCGCCGGUCUACAACAAACCCCGCCGUCUUGCACCUGAUCGACUUAAACAGGUAAAGGAGGAAUUCGAGCUCAUGAUCGAGCAGGGCGUGAUGCGACUAUCGAAAAGCCCGUGGGCAUCACCUCUGCACGCAGUGCCGAAAAAGGACGGAAACCUGCGACCAUGCGGCGACUACCGUGCGUUGAACGCCCGCACCGUACCCGACAGGUACUCACCGCCACAUAUCGAAGACUUCGCGCAUCAUCUGCACGGUAAGCGUAUCUUCUCAAAGAUCGAUCUCGUCCGCGCGUACCAUCAAAUUCCGAUUGCGCCCGAGGACAUCGAAAAAACCGCGAUAGCAACACCGUUCGGUCUUUUCGAAGCAACAAACAUGAUGUUUGGACUUCGGAACGCCGCGCAAACAUGUCAGCGAUUCGUCGACGAAAUCACACGUGGACUCGAUUUCGUCUACGCGUACAUCGAUGAUUUUCUUAUAGCAUCGGACGACGAAGGUCAACAUCGCGAACAUUUGAAAAUUCUGUUCAACCGCCUCAAUAAUUACGGCGUCGUGAUAAACCCCACGAAAUGCGAAUUCGGCGUGCACGAAAUUACUUUCCUCGGAUACUCGGUAAACUCCGACGGAAUUAAACCGCCGCCGGAACGCGUCGAAGCGAUUAUGAAAUUGUCGAAACCCGCGAACGCUAAGCAGCUACGUAGGUACCUCGGUAUGAUAAACUUCUACCGACGUUUUAUACCGGGGGCCGCAAAAACACUCAAACCGCUCAAUGAUUUGUUAAAAGGCGCGAAAAAGGGCAACGCGCCUAUAGAGUGGUCGGAACAGUCGGAAAACAGCUUUCGCGAAUCGCAACGCGCUCUCGCGGAUGCCACGAUGCUGGCGCAUCCGAUACCAGGUGCGCCUAUCAGCCUCUCGGUAGAUGCGUCCGACUACGCAGUGGGAGCGGUAUUACAACAACACGCGAAUAGCGAAUUGCAACCGCUAGGGUUCGCAACGAAAUCUCUGACCCCGGCGCAGCAAAAAUAUAGCGCGUACGAUCGCGAACUACUCGCAAUAUACACCGCAAUCAAACACUUCCGACACGCUUUAGAAGGCAGAAACUUCGUAAUAUAUACCGACCACAAACCUCUUACCUACGCGUUCAGACAAAAGUUAGAAAAGUGUUCGCCGCGACAAUUUCGAUACCUAGACUACAUCGGUCAAUUCAGCACCGAUAUACGUUACAUAAAGGGGCUAGAUAAUAAUGUAGCCGACGCUCUGUCACGCAUCGAAGCAAUAGGGAAGGCCGUGGACCAUCAAACUCUCGCCGCCGCGCAAGAAAACGACAACGAACUAAGCGAUAUCGUCAACUCCGAUCGUUUGAAACCCGCUUUUAUUGUAUCCGACCAUAUUGAACAGCAACUAGAAACCAGCGCAGAAACCCUCGUUACGUUUAUACCGCGUAAAACCACAACUACGCAAAACGCCGAGCAGGCACAGCAAAGCGAAGAUGACUCAGGAGUUCAUCACACCACGCGCACGGGCAGGAAAGUUCGCUUUCCUGAUCGCUUUCAGGCGGGUCUGCGAUAA